AUUUGUCAAAAAACCUGGAUCAGACAAACCAUGAAAGAACAAACUGCGUGGCAAGGACAUAUUGUUUAUCAAAAAACCUCGAAAACUAUUUGGAUCUCGAAGAAUAUCUUUGAAAAUAAAAUCUGAACAAAGGAUUACAUACAAUGAUAUUAAAAGACAUGACAAUAAUAACAGGUUCAUUGUAGUUGUCAAAAAAUACUGAUCUUAGUGUACCUGAAAUAGAAGGUCUAAAAGUUGCAUUGUCAUUA